AACAUGAGAUGCUCAGAAUAAAGAGAGCGAGCGAGAGAGAGAGAGACAGAAGAGAGACAUGGAUCACCUGCUGCUGCUGCUGAUGCUACUGGUCUGUAGCUCAGGACUCCAGGCUGAAGGAGAACACAACUCAACAGAGCCUGGUGUUAGGCUGGUGGGAGGAGAGAGUCGCUG